AGCACCGGCUAACUCCGUGCCAGCAGCCGCGGUAAUACGGAGGGUGCAAGCGUUAUCCGGAUUUAUUGGGUUUAAAGGGUCCGUAGGCGGGCUGAUAAGUCAGUGGUGAAAUCCUGCAGCUUAACUGUAGAACUGCCAUUGAUACUGUUAGUCUUGAGUAUAUUUGAAGUAGCUGGAAUAAGUAGUGUAGCGGUGAAAUGCAUAGAUAUUACUUAGAACACCAAUUGCGAAGGCAGGUUACUAAGAUAAGACUGACGCUGAGGGACGAAAGCGUGGGGAGCGAACAGGAUUAGAUACCCUGGUAGUCCACGCUGUAAACGAUGCUGACUCGUUUUUGGUUUUUAGGGAUCAGAGACUAAGCGAAAGUGAUAAGUCAGCCACCUGGGGAGUACGACCGCAAGGUUGAAACUCAAAGGAAUUGACGGGGGCCCGCACAAGCGGUGGAUUAUGUGGUUUAAUUCGAUGAUACGCGAGGAACCUUACCAAGACUUAAAUGGGAAUUGACAGCUGUAGAAAUACGGUUUUCUUCGGACAAUUUUCAAGGUGCUGCAUGGUUGUCGUCAGCUCGUGCCGUGAGGUGUUAGGUUAAGUCCUGCAACGAGCGCAACCCCUGUCACUAGUUGCCAUCAUUAAGUUGGGGACUCUAGUGAGACUGCCUGCGCAAGCAGAGAGGAAGGUGGGGAUGACGUCAAAUCAUCACGGCCCUUACGUCUUGGGCCACACACGUAAUACAAUGGCCGGUACAGAGGGCAGCUACUAUGUGAAUAGAUGCGAAUCUCGAAAGCCGGUCUCAGUUCGGAUUGGAGUCUGCAACUCGACUCUAUGAAGCUGGAAUCGCUAGUAAUCGCGCAUCAGCCAUGGCGCGGUGAAUACGUUCCCGGGCCUUGUA
rnacentral:rRNA from 1 species